ACUCCUACGGGAGGCAGCAGUGGGGAAUUUUCCGCAAUGGGCGCAAGCCUGACGGAGCAAGACCGCGUGAGGGAAGAAGGUCUGUGGAUUGUAAACCUCUUUUGAUAGGGAAGAAGACAGUGACGGUACCUAUCGAAUCAGCCUCGGCUAACUCCGUGCCAGCAGCCGCGGUAAUACGGAGGAGGCAAGCGUUAUCCGGAAUUAUUGGGCGUAAAGAGUCCGUAGGUGGGUAACCAAGUCAGCUGUUAAAUAGUGAAGCUUAACUUCAUAGAGGCGGCUGAAACUGGUGGUCUAGAGUGUGGUAGGGGUAGAGGGAAUUUCCAGUGUAGCGGUGAAAUGCGUAGAUAUUGGAAAGAACACCGGUGGCGAAAGCGCUCUACUGGGCCUGCACUGACACUGAGGGACGAAAGCUAGGGGAGCGAAAGGGAUUAGAUACCCCUGUAGUCCUAGCCGUAAACGAUGGAUACUAGGCGUUGCCCGUAUCGAC
rnacentral:rRNA from 1 species